CUUGACAUCCUUUGACCACUCUGGAGACAGAGCUUUCCCUUCGGGGACAAAGUGACAGGUGGUGCAUGGUUGUCGUCAGCUCGUGUCGUGAGAUGUUGGGUUAAGUCCCGCAACGAGCGCAACCCUUGAUUUUAGUUGCCAGCAUUUAGUUGGGCACUCUAAAGUGACUGCCGGUGCAAGCCGGAGGAAGGUGGGGAUGACGUCAAAUCAUCAUGCCCCUUAUGACCUGGGCUACACACGUGCUACAAUGGAUAGUACAAAGGGUCGCGAAGCCGCGAGGUGGAGCUAAUCCCAUAAAACUAUUCUCAGUUCGGAUUGUAGGCUGCAACUCGCCUACAUGAAGCCGGAAUCGCUAGUAAUCGUGGAUCAGCAUGCCACGGUGAAUACGUUCCCGGGCCUUGUACACACCGCCCGUCACACCACGAGAGUUUGUAACACCCGAAGUCGGUAGGGUAACCUUUAUGGAGCCAGCCGCCGAAGGUGGGACAGAUAAUUGGGGUGAAGUCGUAACAAGGUAGCCGUAUCGGAAGGUGCGGCUGGAUCACCUCCUUUCUAAGGAA
rnacentral:rRNA from 1 species